CAUUUCAAAAUCUUUCCAACAUGGUUGACGGUCCCUGCGACAGUGAAUACUUUCUUAAUGUUAAAAAUGUACUCGUGGUUAUUAACUUUUAUUGUGCGUGUCAUAUUUGUCAAACUUCAAAUGGAAAUCUGUCAAACUAGCAAUCUGGCUAACUGGCAAGUGCCAGCAGGGCUAAGGUUAGCUAGGCGCCAGGUAGGUGAGCUGGCUCGAGCUAACGUCAGAUAGUAUGAUUUGAAAAUGCUGGUGGUGGGGAAGUAAAGUUAGGUAGCGUUGAUGAUUCAUAAUCAGUUUAAAGUAAUUAAUGAAAGCUGGACAUUAAAUGCAGGUAAGCUCUGGGAGCGAGCGUGACAUGAAAGUGACUGAAGUCAGACAAGUGCACACUGUCCCCUGAGGGUUCACGCGCUCAGGGAUUCGAUCUAGCAACCUUUCGGUUAUUGGCCAAACGCUCCAACCAGUAGGCUUCCUGCCGCCCAAAAGGUAAAGCAAUGGCAGCUGCAGCUCCACAAACCAUGACACUUUGCAUUGUUGAUGCUGACCAUAUAAGGAAGAUAAACCUCAGCUCCAGUCCAGCAUCUGUUGAUGACUAGAUAAACAAUUUGAAUGCCAAGUUUGCAGUAUGAAGACCCUAACUUUGAUGGACAACUUACCUGCUUGAUGGACAUUGAGAAGUUGCCAAAUAAGGCAACACUGCACCUUUUAGUGCAUCACAUUGGCUGCAUCACAUCUGGCUGUGAUUGGGAGUCCCAUAGAGGCAGGAUCUGACACUGGAUGGAAGAACGGCAUCAAAUUCAAGAUGGGUAACUACAGAACCAAGUUCUGCGACAGGAGAGCAGGAUGUCAGGAGGUUUCCGUAAAGCGCAGGAAAAAGAAGCAGAAUCAAUCCAGAGAAUGAACCUUCGCACUCAAACCUAAAGAGACCAGGCAGAAUGUACUUUUCUGCCAAAUGUUCCCCUUGGAGAGGACUCGGAAAGUCUUGAAAUGCUGAGGCAGGAAAUGGUCCAAGAAGUUCAGUAGAGGGAAAGGAACUUACCCCUGAUCGAUAGGAAGAUGCAGACCACAUUUGCCCUGCGGCACCAGGGUAUAGUCAUCGACACGUCACCUGUAAAGGAGAUCCUUGAUCUCUGGCCUGCUCUGCGCAUGGAGUCCCAGAGCGCCAGUGAAUUUUCAAACCAGAACCUGCCAAACAUUUUAUAUGCUGAGAUUGACUGACACACCACUCGUUUGAUGACCUUGUAUAGACAAAGGGCAUCAAAGACUGGAUGGACUGCUGACGCUUUGGUUGACAUUCUGAGGUGUCAUGAUCUACAGGAAGUACAUGAUGCCCACACAAGGCGUACAACUGUUAUCCAUGCUCUUCCUGUGUUGCUGCGCGAGGAAGUCUCCGGAUUUUUCAAAACAUGCAAAGUGGAGGAUUCAGACAAGCCAGAGUUUGGUGACUCACCGGUAGCCCUGCUGACAAUCGUAAAAUCCAGUCCACUGCAAUCCAGUUGACCUCUCUGUUGUCGAAGGAGAGUGACGUUGUGGUGAUUGACCUCCCUGGACUGCCGGAUGCUUUCCUAGUAAUGUUUGGUCUGAUAUAUGCUCUACAUCUCAGUUAUCCGAAAGAACUGUCCAACACGUUCGAGAUCAUUCAGAUAAUCCUGCUAGGUUUAGAAAACUGAAGCCAAGGCUACAGGCUCUGAAGAAUGAUUUGAUGAUACAUGUGUAAGUAAGCAUUGACCAAAUGACUACCACAAGCUGGUAACACUUUGUUUUUAUUCCAACAUAACUAAAUGUGGCUUAAUGUUUUGAGUCUUUUUUUGUAUGACAUUGUGUUUGAUUCUUUAAGAAAUGUUAUGCUGAGCUGCUAGAAUACAGUACAAAAGAUUGUCAGAAUAUUUGGUUUGAAGUCAGAACAGAAAAUCUUACAGGCCACCUACCACAAGUGCUUUACAUGAGCAUUUCCCUGAACUAUGCAGGUGGAAUUUGCAUUGAAUUCUAUUGUUGCGACUUUACUUGUGUAUGAAAACAUACACUCCAGUCUUCACCUGGACAUUUAUAUUUAUUUUAUAUUUUUGUUUCCAUAGUAUUUUGUUUUAAGGUUAAUAUACAUCGUUUUUUUAUAAGCUGUUUUAUCUGCUAAAGCUGACAUCUUUGAGAAAUGAUCCCAUGAUAAUGCCAGAACAGUAUGUUUUAGACUUAGAGCAAGCUGGACACACAACGGUGUAUGUUCCAAUACUUUAGAUUCAAGAACUGUUUCAUAACACUGAUAUUCUAAGCAAAAUCUCAGAACCAAAAACUGAGCCAAGUCACUACACGUCCGUAAAGAGUUUGGCCUGAGAACAAAAGCCAGCCAUGACUUAAUAUAAAAAAUGUUGUGCGAAGUGAUGCUAUUUCCAUCACAUGUUUUUGAUGAUCUUUUGGAAGGUAUUGUGCCUAUUGAGCUGUCUCAAUUGAUAUUGGAAUUUCAGUUUCUUUAAAUAAUACAUUGUUUUAUAAUCCCAAAAUUACCUCAAAGUAUUAUUUGUUGACAUUGUUGAAUUUAUUUUAUAGUUUAAGAAAGGAACCACAAGACACUUGCUCUUACCCCCUAAUCAUCAUCACAGUAGCACCUCCACCGGGGUUGGGGUCAAUUCCGUUGCAAUUCAGGAAGUAAACUGAAAUUCCAGUUCUAAUUUCAUCUCAUAGGAGACAAUGAUAAAAAUGUAUCUUGAUAUUGAAAUUUGUUUACUUACUGUAUUGAAAAGGAAUUGACCCCAACCAUGGUGGAGGUGCUACUGUAUUGUGUUCUCUUUAAAACCUUUGCAGUAUGUACAGUAGGCUAAAUUGUAGGUCAUGGUGUUUUUUAGAUCAGCCAUUUUCCUUAAUUUAUUAUUCCCAAUGCUCAAAUGCAUUGAGAUUACUUUGUUCAAGCAUGUUGUCCACUGUUUGUUUCGCCACACUUGAAUAGGUCUACCACUGACAAGUUGAUUUUUGGGCUUACAUACUAUACUGUAUGGGGCAAUGUCUCAGUGGAGGUCAGGGUCGGGUCAAUCCCAUUUUCAAUUCAGUCAAUUCAGGAAGUAAACUGAAGUUCAAAUAUUUCCUCAAAGGAGGCAAUGAGGAAAAUAUUAGAAGAUCUGUUUACUUACCAAAUUGACUGAAUUGAAAAUGACUGACCCAAACCUGACCUCCACUGAGACAUUGCCACAUCGACCCCAAUCUGUGCUCUUUAAUUGUGAACCUUUCACUAUGUUCUCUAAUGUGAACCUUUUACUGGAUUAUCUUUAAAUGUACUCCGGAGUCUUUUCUUCAGGAAAUGUGUUAUUGUUACUGUGACAGUAAAUCGCUGACAAACUGG